rnacentral:rRNA from 1 species
AUGGAUACUAGGUGUCCGGGAUGUUAACCUCCUGGGUACCGAAGCUUACGCAUUAAGUAUCCCGCCUGGGGAGUACGGUCGCAAGACUAAAACUCAAAGGAAUUGACGGGGGCCCGCACAAGCGGUGGAGUAUGUGGUUUAAUUCGAAGCAACGCGCAGAACCUUACCUGGGCUUAACAUCCUCAGACAACCGCAGAGAUGCGGCUUUCCCUUCGGGGACUGAGAGAUAGGUGCUGCAUGGCUGUCGUCAGCUCGUGUCGUAAGAUGUUGGGUUAAGUCCCGCAACGAGCGCAACCCUUGUCCUUAGUUGCCACCAUUAAGUUGGGCACUCUGAGGAGACUGCCGGUGUUAAACCGGAGGAAGGCGGGGAUGACGUCAAGUCCUCAUGGCCCUUACGUCCAGGGCUACACACGUACUACAAUGGCAGAGACAAAGGGUCGCCGAAACCGCGAGGUUGGAGCUAAUCCCAAAAACACUGUCUCAGUCCGGAUUGAAUCUGCAACUCGACUUCAUGAAGCUGGAAUCGCUAGUAAUCGGAGAUCAGCACCUCCGGUGAAUACU